rnacentral:rRNA from 1 species
AGGCUUAACACAUAGAAGUCGAAAGCCCCGCAAGGGGAGUGGCAGACGGGUGAGUAACGCGUGGGAACAUACCCUUUCCUGCGGAAUAGCUCCGGGAAACUGGAAUUNAUACCGCAUNCGCCCUACGGGNGGNAGAUUUNUCGNNGGNGGAUUGGCCCGCGUUGGAUUACCUAGUUGGUGGGGUAAAGGCCUACCAAGGCGACCGAU